rnacentral:rRNA from 1 species
UACGAAGGGGGCUAGCGUUGCUCGGAAUUACUGGGCGUAAAGGGAGCGUAGGCGGGUUGACAAGUUGGAGGUGAAAGCCCAGGGCUCAACCCUGGAAUUGCCUUCAAAACUGUCAGCCUUGAGUAUGGAAGAGGUAAGUGGAACUCCGAGUGUAGAGGUGAAAUUCGUAGAUAUUCGGAAGAACACCAGUGGCGAAGGCGACUUACUGGUCCAUGACUGACGCUGAGGCUCGAAAGCGUGGGGAGCAAACAGG